rnacentral:rRNA from 1 species
CAUUCACGGAGAGUUUGAUCCUGGCUCAGGACGAACGCUGGCGGCGUGCUUAACACAUGCAAGUCGAACGAUGAACCGGUUUCGGCCGGGGAUUAGUGGCGAACGGGUGAGUAACACGUGGGCAAUC